CAAAGCCUUUCCUGGGUCUGAUGAAUUGUCCAUCCUGGGUGAUGAAUGGGCCAUCUCUGAUGAUGAAUGGGCCAUCUCUGGUUCCUGGAACAGUUAUUUUUAGUUCCUGGAAUGUCCUAUCCCUUAUCAGAUGAGAUGUAGAUAUCAGAAGGUGGUAAUCAAGUCAUCAUGGUGCAAAUGUCCC